UAGCGGACAAUCAACACCGAAAUAUCAACAUGAAGAUAAACGCUCUACUUCUUGCUAUUCUCGCAAUAGUACUUAUUGCAUUCAACGUCGAAGUUUCCGCUCAGCAAUGGUGUACAGGGACAUCUGAUAGACGAUGUGUAGUAAAACCAUGCCCGUCUGGCGAGAGGAUCGUGAAAUGGAUCAGCCAAGAUAACGAUAAACCUUUCCCAUCGUGCUGUGCGGACAGAAUUUGCGGUUAAAUAAAAAUCUUUCCAACAAUCUAUUUUACUCGACGAUGCUAUCAGAAAAUAUGUAUAAUGUAUCAGAGUUAUAGAAAUUUUUAUUCUACGCAUCAAAUAAACAAUAUUGCAAAUUU